rnacentral:rRNA from 1 species
CUUGGGCGUAAAGAGCUCGUAGGCGGUUUGUUGCGUCGGCUGUGAAAUCCCGAGGCUCAACCUCGGGUCUGCAGUCGAUACGAGCAAACUAGAGUGUUGCAGGGGAGACUGGAAUUCCUGGUGUAGCGGUGAAAUGCGCAGAUAUCAGGAGGAACACCGGUGGCGAAGGCGGGUCUCUGGGCAACAACUGACGCUGAGGAGCGAAAGCUUGGGGAGCGAACAGGAUUAGAUACCCUGGUAGUCCACGCCGUAAACGUUGGGCGCUAGGUGUGGGGCUCAUUCCACGAGUUCCGUGCCGCCACUAACGCAUUAAGCGCCCCGCCUGGGGAGUACGGCCGCAAGGCUAAAACUCAAAGGAAUUGACGGGGGCCCGCACAAGCGGCGGAGCAUGUUGCUUAAUUCGAUGCAACGCGAAGAACCUUACCUAGGCUUGACAUGCACGGGAAAUCUCUCCAGAGAUGGUGGGUCCGUAAGGGCCGUGCACAGGUGGUGCAUGGUUGUCGUCAGCUCGUGUCGUGAGAUGUUGGGUUAAGUCCCGCAACGAGCGCAACCCUCGUUCUAUGUUGCCAGCACGUGAUGGUGGGGACUCAUAGGAGACUGCCAGGGUCAACUCGGAGGAAGGUGGGGAUGACGUCAAAUCAUCAUGCCCCUUAUGUCUAGGGCUGCAAACAUGCUACAAUGGCCGGUACAAAGGGCUGCGAUACCGUAAGGUGGAAGCGAAUCCCAAAAAGCCGGUCUCAGUUCGGAUUGGGGUCUGCAACUCGACCCCAUGAAGUUGGAGUCGGCUAGUAAUCGCAGAUCAGCAACGCUGCGGUGAAUACGUUCCCGGGCCUUGUACACACCRCCCGUCACGUCACGAAAGUCGGUAACGCCCGAAGCCGGUGGCCCAACCCCUUGUGGGAGG